UGGGGAAUAUUGCACAAUGGGGGAAACCCUGAUGCAGCGACGCCGCGUGAGUGAUGAAGUAUUUCGGUAUGUAAAGCUCUAUCAGCAGGGAAGAUAAUGACGGUACCUGACUAAGAAGCACCGGCUAAAUACGUGCCAGCAGCCGCGGUAAUACGUAUGGUGCAAGCGUUAUCCGGAUUUACUGGGUGUAAAGGGUGCGUAGGUGGUGAGACAAGUCUGAAGUGAAAAUCCGGGGCUUAACCCCGGAACUGCUUUGGAAACUGCCUGACUAGAGUACAGGAGAGGUAAGUGGAAUUCCUAGUGUAGCGGUGAAAUGCGUAGAUAUUAGGAGGAACACCAGUGGCGAAGGCGACUUACUGGACUGCUACUGACACUGAGGCACGAAAGCGUGGGGAGCAAACAGG
rnacentral:rRNA from 3 species